GACACAACCACAGUAGCAAACUGGCCACAAAGGAGCAGCCAAAAUUACUUCCUCCUGUGCAUUAGGAUUAGGGUGUGUACAUGAUGAUAACAUAGUAGCUUCCAAAUAAUUUUAAGCCACAAUACAUGAUGAUAACCCGCACUAAGGCCACCAUUUAGAUUUUUUUUUUCCCUUUUAAUCGGUGAAUAUGAUGACCAACUUGAUCAGAAAGGCUCAUUUUUU
rnacentral:misc_RNA from 1 species